GUUGAAGGCUUGGAAAUGGAGAUAUAAGCUCUUUCUUCCUUCAGUCAUUAUAGGAAACACCAACUCUCAGCCCAACAGAAGCAAUGAGCUGGAGACAUUAGUGAAGACUAAGAAAGCAUACCGUGAGUGCAGUCUCCUGUUUUUCACUGGUUGAAUCAAAACUACUCAGACUCCAGUGUGGAUCUACCUGCCUUCACUCACUCUCAUAAGGUCAGACUGAGAUGCUACAGCUAGUGGCGAGAAGAAAGGAGGGAGUCUGGCUUUAUUUGUUAACUAAAAAUGAUGCAACUCUGUUGGCGGUUGCUCUUCGGCCAUAUUAUGUUCCAAGGGAGUUCAGUCAUAUCAUAACAAUGCUUGUACACAUCCCACCUAAGGCAACGGCUGAAGUUCCGUGUGAUGUUCUCCAUGAUACUGUUGCUAGGAUACAGUGAGGAAGGUAGUGGUCAUUCUAAAAACAUGCGAUGGACAGCUUCUCUCUCUUCACUGCAGGCGAGAGAGAUUGUGACAAUAUUUUGUACCCACAGCUAUCAGACUUCUCAAUCCUUCCAUAAAAACUAGAUGAGAUGAGAUUCCAGACAAACAAAUUUCCUUUUGGGGAUCAAUAAAAGUCUCGUAUUGUAUUUUCUGUUGACAGAGUUGGCUGUCUUGAAUAGACAGCAUUGCCUCUGAGUAGUUUUGAUUAAGAUUCAAACAUCUGAUCUAUUUUAUCCAGAAUUUGGUUAAACCAAACUUUCUCAUUUAAUUUGAAAUAAACUAACAAACAAACAAACAAAAAACACAGAAUACAAGCAGCUACUCUGAUGAAGCUGUAACAAGAAAGAUUGUGAAUGAAGUCAGAACAUUGAUGCUGAAUUCUCCCAUUGAAACAAAAUUUUGGAACCAAAAAGAAAACCAGCACAGAGAAAGGCGACACUGGCAUUGAAACACGUGUAUUCAAAGAGUUAUUAGUCAUUAAAAAAACACUUGAGAAUGAAACAAAUAUUAGUCAUUUUAUCUUCUCUUUGAGUGUUUUAAUAUUCUGUGAAACUAUUCCCCAUGCCAAAUCCCUCUUUGAGUGCCAGUACAACUUUUUCUUGUAUACAUGUUUCAAUGCCAGUGUUUGUUUUUCAAAUCAGCUCUUACUCUCGAUGCCAAAAUUUAGAGCCUCUAUCCUGGCUCCACACAAAACAGAUGAUAGAAAAUGUAUAAUGACUUUGCUUCUUGAGCUUCAGCGAAACCAAACAAAUUGAUCUUCAUUUCUUUUGGUUAGGAAUGAAGACAGCGUCUGUAGAAGUCAUCGUGUUUAAUGUAGAGAUGUAUGAAGAAAGCAAGAAGUGGAUAAUCAAGGCUGCAUCAACCAGUCUAGUGUAUCUACGCCUCUCUCAUUAGCAGACACGAAUAGAGCAUAUUGCUCAAAAAUAUGAUUUUAAAAUAUUAAUUUUCUUCUUGAUUAGAUUUGAAACUGAUGAGAAACCAUAAAGUAUAAUUAGGGUUUUAUGAUGUCAGCCGUUUGCAUUAGGUUUGCAGUGAAAUGGAAAAGAAGAAGUACAGAAGCAUGUCUGUCCUGUGAUCAUUUCAUUUCGUCCUCAAUAAUACAAGCCAAUUACACAGUACCGGGACAUUUACCCACACACUGCACUGUUUGUCAAAGCCUAUUUCCCAAAGACCAUCCCACUUUAAAAAGCUCGUCCUCCUUGCUUCCUUCUUUACCAUGCACGUUCAGCACCCGAGGAUACUAGCCUGUAAUCACAUUAGCGGAUCCUUUGUGACGGCUCUUUCACAACAUGCUAUGUGUUAAACUCCCAAAAAGAUCUUCUCUGCUCCAACAGCGUGCCCAAUCUGGAGAAUGCACUUUUUUGUAAGCGUGAAUCAUUUGUCCUUUUUGUUUGCAUGCGUCUGCACAAACGGGAGUGAAUAAAUGGUAAUGAGACAUCAUUAUCACCAAUCCUGCUUUGAUUUCGCGGCUUCAAUCCUGGGUGAGAGUGUCCCAUCAUCUUCAGCAGACAUAGGAGUGCUGAUGUCGUGGAUAAAAACAGCUCCGUGCACGCCGGGACGUAACCCAAACCUUUGCAAAUGUCAUCUUUCCCCGUGACUAAGUUUACUGCUUCUAUUUGUGUCACAACAAACCACCUCUGGGUGUGGAUGAUUGACAAGCUGUGAGUGAUAAUUUGACACAUUCUGCCAUUAUUCCUUUCUGCCGACUCACUCUUUUAUUUUUAAGCACGCUGCAGCAUUGUCAACCUGAACCUUUAUGACACCUGACAGCGACACAUGAGAGACGUUGGCGUUCUUUUAUUCAAGUGUAAAGGUUUAAACUUUCACUUUAGGUCUCUUGCACAUUGGGGACCAAAACAGCAGGUUUAUCUUUCCCCUUAGGUCAAUAUAUCUUCAAUUCCUUUUGUUUUUCUUCACAUUACCAUUACUCUUAGAGGCGGCUGCCACUUGUGCUUUAUUCCAAACAGCACACGUGGGCCAAAGAUGAUGCCCUGCUUCUGAUGCAUGCUCCAAACCGUUCAGAAAUGCAUAAACAACAAGCCUCUCAAAAGUGCCUUGCAUCGACCGCAGCCGCCAUCCCUGCAGUCAGCUCUGCGCGGGGCUGUUUAGCAACUCGCACCAUUGAUCGCUUCAAGUGAGUACCCACCACAAUCGGCAUCCUAUGACACCAGGGGGAAGCGGGGGAGUGCACAAGGUGCAAUUAGCUGCUCCCAGGAGCACAGAGGGAGUGACAGACAAUCAACAUGGAGAGAGAAAGUGAGGAGGAGGAGGAAGAGGGGGAGAUGAAGAGGAGGUGUGUACAAGAAAAAGGAAGGGUGAGGGGAAAAGAUGGUCAUUACCCAAAUGGGUCGUUAUGCCCCAUCUAUCCAUCCCAUGCUGCCAUAGCCCCUCGCCCACGCCACAGGAGUUUUAAUUGGUCCGGUACACAGUGUUUGCUCAAGCACUCUGCAAGUUUGGAGAAGCACUCUGUAGGGGAAUGCGGUAGGCUCACUCAUGCUGGAAAUAUAUAAGCGGGAAAGGUGUGGGUAGAAGAGUGAGGUGUAUGUAUGUGUGUGCUUGCGUACAUGCGUCCGUGCUCUAAAAUCUCAUAUCAACGUUCAGAAUUUUAUGUCCGGCUACGUGGAUAAUGAGCAGCUAGAGUUUUGGUGAUUUCCUGUGUGGGAUGCCCAAAGAGGAAUCAGCAAUCUGCAGGACUCAUUAUAUUGCUGCUGUCACUGCAUUAAAAGUACUGGCCACUAAACCUACACUCACAGCUACAGUGAAGCUCCCAUUAUUAGGGCUGCACCGUACACUGUUAAACAUCCCAGCUGUGAUGUGCGCAUGGGCAGGACUUGGAUUCAGAAAACACGUUAUUUUCUAAUUUUUCAUGACUUUUCUUCAAGAAGAUGAAACAUUUUCACAAUCCCCAGCCUUCUUUCUUUGUGUAUCUGCUGAUACGAAGUCCCCGAGUCUUUGCAGAGAUAAGUGUUUUCCACAAAAUGAUGGUGAACUUGUCAUGGUCGGAUGGUGGAGUGCUUUUUAGCUAUUAUCUUAAGUACUCUCAGUUUUGAAAGUCUGGACCUGCUUGGUAAUACUAGUCUUUGAUGAAAAUGGUACUGAUAGGAUGAUAGGCAGCUCAUAAUCCCUGGUCGAUUAAAAAAUACCCAUAUCGGCUCUGAGGGAGUUGAAAUUAGGUUUGGGACUUCCUUACAAAUUUCGAACUACAUUUAGUUUUUUUUUUGUAUUCAAACAACAACAUCCAACAAUUUAAACACAUGGCAGUAAUUAAAAUAAUGAUGAAAAUAUUAAUAAUAGAGGUAAAUAAAUAAAUUGUCAGUUUUCGCUAAAAUUUUCGUUAAAAUAAUAAAUAAAAUAAAUAAUUAAAAAUGUAAAAUGAACCAAGAAAUUAAUCAACAAAUUACUGAGCAAUAAAUAAUAAUAAAUAGAUAAAUUAAAAAAAAAUCUUAAAUAAGAAUAUAGCUUACAUAGUACACUACCAACAACAAAUUAAAUAUUUUUACAUUUAGUUUUUUUUUUUUUUCACUUGAGUUUGGUGCAUCUUCAGGAAGGGAAAUCUCAAUUAAAAUAGCACUUAAAAACUUUGUAUCCAAAAUUAAUUAAUCAGAUUUCAAUGUUUACUUCAAAGUUUCCACAUUCCUAAUAACACUAAAAUCUUUUUGUCAAUCUGGGAGUUGAGCUCACCCCUUUUACACAAAGGUCCAUUUUCUUUAGUAUCACAGCCCUUCCUGUUUCUCUUUUACAUGGGACGACAGUAUCUCAGGAGGUAGAGCGGUCGUCCAAUAAGCCGUAGGUUGGUGGUUCGAUUCGCCCCUAUACCUAGUCUGUCUGUUGUGUCCUUGGGCAAGACACUUAACCCACCUUUCUCCCAGUUUGUGUCCUCCACUGGUGUAUGAUUAUGAGUGUUGUGUGGUGGUGGUGGUCGGAGAGGCGGUAGGCGCAGAUCGGCAGCCAGAGGGCAGCUGUGACUAAUAAGGUAGUUUACCACCACCAAGUUGUGACUGUGUGAGCGAAUGAAUGAUGUAUCCAAUGUAAAACACUUUGAGGGUCUCUGAUAAAGCACUAUAUGAAAUCUGUUGCAUUAUUAUUAUUAUUACAUGUAGUGUACAGCACAGGCUAAAAAAACAAAUGCAUGACUGUAUUAAAUAUGUCUUAUCCCCUGUGUUCAUUGAUGUUGUGAAGCCAUUACACAGUAUCUGUGUAACAGAUGUCUUUGGUCUCUUGGAGGAUUUGAUGAUGCACUUUAAACAUUACUGAACUAAGAGCAUGCUGACCAUACUGCACUUAUGUUUUUUGUUGUUUUUGUUUUUUAAGACUCUUAACUGCUGGAUUAAACUAAAACCUCUCGAUCGCCUCCUGGGAGAGUGGCUAUUAUUUAAGGGGGCCCUUGAUCUGCAGUAGAGUUUUCUGUGCGUGUAGCAAACGUUUCAAACUCCAAUAUUGUUGAUUCGUUUAAUCUUGAGAAGGCCAAAAGCACGAUUGCAGUUACAGUUUGAUUAAUCGUGCAGCCUCGGGCCUGCUGUUCAUUGUAGAGCCCCAUUUGACUGCAGAGUUUCUGAUUCAAAGAGAAAUGCGGUUUCUACUUCGAAUACUUUGGUACUGAGAACUAACUGCGCCCCUCAUAAAUCCCUUCUUAAUUAGAUACUCCCUGCAUCCCUACACUGAGCAGAAUCUGUAUUUUUAAGGAUACAUUUAAAAUGUUUCUGUCCGUGCAGACGUUUGGUUAAUUGUCCCUCUUCAUUUGAUGCUGUAUAACUGAUUAAUUCUGGUAUCUGAGGACUGUAUAUCUCAUAUUCUUGAACACUUUUAAUGUGGUGCAUUUGUAUUAUUAAUUCCCUUUACUGUAUGUAUUAUCUUUGCAAAGCGCUUUAUGACUUUUGUGUAUGAAAAACCCUUUCUACAUAAACUGACGUAGUUAACUUCGAUCCCUUUGUGAGCACAGAGUCAUCUUGAAGGUGAAUACUUUUUAAUGCCCCCGGCUGCAGGUAGAAGUGAAAGUUCUGGUCGGCAGUACUGUGGUGGGAAGACAGAGUGAAGUCUCGUCUCUUUCAGUCUGAUGAAUGCUCUCCAUGGGAUUAUCUCACUGGGCAAAAAUGGAGAGUCCUUGCCUACAGGGUCAAGUCUUUGCUUUGCUGACACUAUUAUGACUGCAGUAUAUGUUUUGCGCAGACUCUCUGAUUGUCAAAGUGUUUUCUUUUGCCUCAGAAAUUGUAUUAACCUCAGCAAGGUUGCAGACUCUUUCAAACUACCCACUGCCACUUCAAAAUCUGACAGAGGGAAGGGCCACCCAGUGUAUUCAGAGUAUUGUUCAGGUAGACUGGUAUGAAAGCAUGCAAAGCCUUUUCAGAUUCAUGUAAGUCUUAAGAUAAAGUAUGCAUUCAGUGGGUUUUGAAGUGUGAAAAUGUCCACUUUGAAGGAAACGGAAGGAGCAAAUAGUUUCUCUUUGUACUUCACCUUGAUAUAAAAGAGACACUUCUGCAUGUAUGCAUUCAUGCUAGUCCUUCAGUAUUCUUAGACACACUUUAAUCCGAUGCUUUGGACCUCGGGGGGCAAAUUUGGUGCAUUUUUAUGAAUUCUGAAGCUGUCACCAAAAACUUUGUUUUGGUUUGUAACUUUAAAAAUUUCAGUCUCAGAGAGCAAUACCAACAAUCUCUGGAUCGAGCUUCCACCAUAUCAGAUUUUGUCCAUGGUUGUUUGGUGAUGGAUACUCCCAUACCAGAGUUGAGUAAAUUGGGUACAAAAAGUCUCUGGGCAGAGCUGGAAUGGGUUUCUUAUACUGCUGUAUCGAAUAGGGAUAGGUACAAUUUAGGUAAACAAUAAAUAACAAAAUGUAUAUAUUUUAUUUAAUGGAAUAGAAUUUAGCACACUGGCAGGUAAGGGACAAGGACUGAUUUAGAAACUUUCACCGAUUGUAGGAUUUUAAAUUAGACCUUAAUUACAAAUUCUACUUGAAAACCAACUGUUUAACCUUUCUAACUUUUUUUGGGGGCAAAGCCCUGGCUUAAAAAAUUGUUUAGGGCAAUCACGGACGCAAUUUGUGGAACACACAUGCACACACUCUUUCAAAAGCCUGUUUUGGUCCCCUGCGGUUUUAACCAUCUAAAAACAUUGUUACUUUACACUAUAGCAAUCC